rnacentral:lncRNA from 1 species
GCAGCUGGAGCUAGGGAAACAGACCAGGCAGGCCAAUAUCAAAAGUCAGCAUGAUGCUGGGGGUUCACAAACAGGAGUCAGUUCAAGCUGGAAUAUAACUCAGCAGAGCGGUCUGGACAAGCUGUGGGUCAAAAACAAGGAGCACUACCUGGGCUGUUGUGGUGUGAGUCAAGAGGCCAGGACAGAAGGGGUUAAAUCAGGUCCAGAUCAACCCUGCUCAGUCUUCAGAAAACAACAGAAAGCAAAGGCAAUAGCUCCGCUGGACAGAGGCAGCCAGAGCAUGACUGAGAGGCUGGGAGGAGAGGUUCAUCAUUUUCAAUAUGAAUAUUAUCCUGCUCGUGGAAUAUGGCUAUCACUCUGCAACAGAAAAGUUGCUGAAAAUAUGAAAUUGUGGAUCUUCCAUCUGCACAUGGAGUCUGUGGAAUUCACAAGUGACAGCCUUAAAAAUGGAAAUGAAACUAUGGCCAAAGCAGGACACAGAAGAUAAAGUGGGAAAGGAGCUUCAUAUGCACUGAGACCAAGAGACUAAAUGAUAUUUCAUCAAAGCUUAUUAAAAAUUUUUAAAUGAUCAAAGGUGCUCUAAGAGAAAUGUAAAAUCAGAAUAUUUUUGAAAGAUGUAUCAGUCACCUAAAAAGAGCAAAAGUAAUUGAUCAACAGUCUACAAUAUGUCAAGAAAAAUAGAGGAAGGCCCCCUGAGCAUAUUGUUCUUAUCCCCUUUGUGAAUUUCCAGGAGGAUGUAAAUGGAAAUUAUAUUGUAUGAGCAGGCAUGAAUGAAUUGCAAUAUGCAUCACAAUAAGGAAUAAUCACAAAAGACCAUUGAUGACUGAAUUAGAGGAAAAGUAAUUGGAAUUGAAAAUAAUAAUACAUAUUAAUUAUAUCUGGAGAAAUAUUAUUUUAUUCAAUAGCUCAAGGUACGAAAAAAACAGUUUUAUUUGCUGUAAAAAAAAAAAAACAAACAAGCAAGGAAGAACCUGUUUGUAUUUUCUUGUAUGGAUAGUAGCAAGGAACAUUUCAUUACAGAUAUAUUCCAGUGGCCAUUUUACCUUAAUCCUAGUCAUCACCAAUUAUUAGCAUAAAAAUAGAUUAUUUUAUUCAAUUUACAGGUCAACACAGCAUUCUCUUAUCAAGAAGAGAUUUGGUUUUCAAAAAUUAUUCUUUUAUGUCUAUGUA